rnacentral:rRNA from 1 species
UACGGGAGCAGCAGUGGGGAAUAUUGCACAAUGGGCGAAAGCCUGAUGCAGCUAUGCCGCGUGUAUGAAGAAGGCCUUAGGGUUGUAAAGUACUUUCAUCGGGGAGGAAAAAACAAAACUAAUAAUUUUAUUUCUUGACGUUACCCGAAAAAGAAGCACCGGCUAACUCCGUGCCAGCAGCCGCGGUAAUACGGAGGGUGCUAGCGUUAAUCAGAAUUACUCGGGCGUAAAGAGCACGUAGGUGGUUUUUUAAGUCAGAUGUGAAAUCCCUGGGCUUAACCUAGGAACUGCAUUUUGAAACUGAAAUACUAGAGUAUCGUAGAGGGAGGUAGAAUUCUAGGUGUAGCGGUGAAAUGCGUAGAUAUCUGGAGGAAUACCUGUGGCGAAAGCGGCCUCCUAAACGAAUACUGACACUGAGGUGCGAAAGCGUGGGGAGCAAACAGGGAUUAGAUACC